AUUGAACGCUGGCGGCAUGCCUUACACAUGCAAGUCGAACGGCAGCACGGGAGCAAUCCUGGUGGCGAGUGGCGAACGGGUGAGUAAAGCAUCGGAACGUGCCCAGUCGUGGGGGAUAACGUAGCGAAAGCUACGCUAAUACCGCAUACGAUCUGUGGAUGAAAGCGGGGGACCGUAAGGCCUCGCGCGAUUGGAGCGGCCGAUGUCAGAUUAGGUAGUUGGUGGGGUAAAGGCCUACCAAGCCGACGAUCUGUAGCUGGUCUGAGAGGACGACCAGCCACACUGGGACUGAGACACGGCCCAGACUCCUACGGGAGGCAGCAGUGGGGAAUUUUGGACAAUGGGCGCAAGCCUGAUCCAGCAAUGCCGCGUGCAGGAUGAAGGCCUUCGGGUUGUAAACUGCUUUUGUACGGAACGAAACGGCUCUCUCUGAUACAGGGGGCUAAUGACGGUACCGUAAGAAUAAGCACCGGCUAACUACGUGCCAGCCGCCGCAGUAAGAC
rnacentral:rRNA from 1 species